AAGAUACUAGUAAAGUAGCCAUUACACUGCCUUGUCAAGGCAGAAUCGCGAGUUAGACCCUCGCGUAUCUUG
rnacentral:tRNA from 3 species